GACGUAGGGCGCAAGCGUUGUCCGGAUUUAUUGGGCGUAAAGAGCUCGUAGGCGGCUCGUUGCGUCGGCUGUGAAAACCCGCAGCUCAACUGUGGGCUUGCAGCCGAUACGGGCGGGCUGGAGUUCGGUAGGGGAGACUGGAAUUCCUGGUGUAGCGGUGGAAUGCGUAGAGAUCGGGAAGAACAUCAGUGGCGAAGGCGGCCUGCUGGGCUGUUGCUGACGCUGAGGCGCGACAGCGUGGGGAGCAAACAGG
rnacentral:rRNA from 1 species